ACAGAAGCUGUGUGCACCGUCUGGGGGCUCGAUGGUGUUUUUACCUCCAACCUCACCUUCCAGGCAGCUAACCCUAACCUUAACCCUAAACAUAACCACUGCCGGGCUGCCUGGAAGGAGAUGCUGGGGG